GGCGCGCGGUGGGCUGUCAGGGAAGGCUCGUGCGGACCCGCCGCGCCUCCGGCCUCGCCCCACGGCCGCGCUCCCCGCCGCCCGCCCUCCCGCGCGUCAGGCUAGGAGACGGCUGGCUCGGCUCCUAGCCGCCGCGGACGCGACCGGGAAGCAGCACUUUCAGGGACUCGGCUGGCGCGUUCGAGCCCUUCUUCCAGCGAAUCGUGGCUCACCCGUCCCUCGCACCGGACACCGUCCCUGUCUGUCCCCGGCCGGUCCUCACUGCCCCCCGGGAGCCCUUUCCGAAGUAGCAGCGCCCACCCGCUGGCUUGACUGGCUGCGGCGCGCUGUGUUCUUUCGGGGCGCCGGGCAGGAGCCCCCCACGUCCGACGACAAGUAAAGCCUCCGGGGAGAAGCGCUGGGUGGCAUAGCAGCCCUCCUCAAGUCAGCCGCCACCUCCCCUCUGUCCUCGACCCUUUCUGCCCUGAACCACCCCGCCGGGCACACAUACACACAGGGGCCAUGGUGCCAGUCUGCAGCAGGAGACAGAGAAGGAAACGGUCACACGGGAAACUGUGGGCCCUCGCCCCCAUUCUACGCCUUGGCAGGAAGAGCCCUGGAGGCCCGGCAGAGCAACGAGCCACUUGCAGAGGAUGAGAAGGGCCCAUUUCCCACUGGACAUCCACUUGCGAGGAAGGUGCAGUGUCAUGACAACUGUGGUCACCCCCAGGCCACUGAGCCUUGAGAAGACAUGGCAGGGGGUCACCUGAGGCUGCUUCCACAAGUGAGGCCUCGGGCCACUCAGGUGGGACUCAAGGGGAUCUUUUCCCACGGCAAUGCACCUGGGCCGUCCACCAGGCCUCCAAGCUCCCACAUCAUAUGUUCUAUGAAACCCACGUGAAUGUUGCCCUGGAGACGGAGAGAACCUGCGGCAGCUUUGAAUGCAGCUUACAUGCAAGAGGGAGAACAGGUCACCCCAGAAAGCCCAUGACGUCCGAGGUUUGCUCCCUCUGGUGCCCAGAUGCCAGACUGCUCUGGACACCACCGUCUGGGGCGGGGUGAGCAGCUCUGACCGGGUGCAGACCUGAAAACCGCCUGGAUGGAGUGAACUAGGGGACAACGUGCCAGGACAUCCCACAACCGAGGGCAGGGCUCCCCCUGAAGACAGACGCCACCGGGCAGGAGCAAAGUGCCGGGAGGAAACACGGACUUGACAGAAGAGGCUUCGAGCAUCUCACUAUGAGACAUGAAGAUUUCUGACGUGUGCCAAAAUGCUUGGGGUGAUUUUUGGGAAACCCAGCAAGAGCUCAGCUGCCUCGUGAAACGCAUCUGCGGAAGGGGAAGAAGUUUGCCGAACCCCGCCCUAGGCCAAAAGAGGUAUUCCUUGCGGGCAGCAAACCGUUUGGAAGCCGAGAAAUAUAUUUUUACUCAUAAUCUUCAGGUCGGUUAUUCUACUCCUGGGAGUGUGUCACAACGAAACAGUGCAGUAAAUUGUAGCUCAUUUUCCCUGCAAUAGAGUUCUGUAAAUGGCAGUGUGGCCCACAUUCUCCCCAAACUUAGCAGCUUAAAACAACCGUAAACGUUUGCUGUGUCACACAGUUCUGUGGGCCAGGCGUUCGGAAGUGGCUCGGCAGGGUGGUGCUGUCUCCGGGGCUCUCAGGAGGCUGCAGUCGAGCUCUGGGCCUGGGCUGCAGUGGUCUGAAGGCUGGACUGGGGCGGGAGGCCCCACUCCCAAGACGGUGCCCUCAUGUGGCUGGCUUAACAGCUGGCUCUCCCAGUGGAGUUGUUUUUUUUAUUAUUAUUAUUUUUUAACGUUUAUUCUUGAGAGACAGAGAGACACAGAGCAUGAGCAGAGGAGGGACAGAGAGAGAGAGGGAGACACAGAAUCCGAAGGGCUCCAGGCUCCGACGCGGGGCUUGAACUCACGAACUGUGAGAUCAUGACCUGAGCCAAAGUCAGUCACCUAACUGACUGAGCCACCCAGGUGCCCCUCUACCAGUGGAGUUCUGACAAGAAUGUUGGUUUUAAUUCACGUUAAUGAUGAGGAUAAAAGUGAAUAGCAGUGGUGUGUGUCAGAACUUCACUCGUGCAUCCCCCAGGCAAGCCACACUGUUGCUGACUUGAAUACUACUGUUCUAAUGCUGGAAGAAUAUUUCCCUAAGUUUUUGUGUUCUUAAUGAAAUGGCUCGGGAUAGGAGACACUUUUCAACUUAGUUUGCAUUAUUAACAUUUUCGCCACCACUUUCUUAAUCUAGACAAUCAACAAAAUGUUAAAUUAAACCCUAGUGUUUCCUGUUUACCCGGUUCCAUGACGUAAGUUCACGCAUGAUGGUUGAUUUCAAAUUAUCGACACAGCACGUCCAUCAUGCGGAUUUAAGCAGACGUAAAAAACCUUAAGAGCACUGAUAAUAGUACAGUGUAGCCAAACCGUGACGUCUUGUAUAUUGCCAUUUGCAUUGUUUUGAUUUAUAACUUAUAGUUUUAUAAUCUUAUAACAGGAAAUUUAUGUUCAGUCUUCUGUUCCUAGCACUGAGCUCCCAAAACAUUUAUACGUUCCUAAGUGGUGACCUCAGGUAAGGCGUGUUGUGUUGUGUUGUGUUGUGUUGUGUUGUGUUGUAUUGUGUGAGCAAGGUGACUUUGGAAAGGACCUGAGGAUGGGGACUGGUUGCCGAGAGAACCAUCCAUGGGAUUCGAGGGUUGGAACUUUCAGGCCCCCCUCCCAGCCUCCUGGGAAGGGACAGGGGCUGGAAAUUGAGUUCAAGUGCCAGCGGCCAAUGGGCAGAGAACCCAAAACGCUUCCGGGUUGGUGUCCCGGGAGGUGCCGGGAGAGCAGUGCCGUCAGAGAGCACGGACGCUUCGCACCGUGGCCCUGUGUAUGUGUUCAUCUGGCUCCUGUAUCAUGUUCCGUAUAAUGAACUGGUAGAUGUCGGUGUUUUUGUGAGCUCUGUGAGCCAUUCUAGUGAGUUAAUUGAAGAAGCGGUUGUGGGAACGUCCAGUUUAUGGCCGGUGGGUCAGAAGCACAGGUGACCACAUGAAGUUGUGACUGGGGUCUAGAGUCAGGGAGUGGGGGCGUUCUUGCAGGACUGAGCCCUUAAGCUGUGGGUUCUGAUGCUGUUCUCCAGAGAGAGAGUGUCAGGGUGAAGUUAACUGCUUGGUAGUGUGAAAAAAAAAUAAAACAAAACUGGGGCGCCUGGGGGGCUCAGUCGGUUAAGUUUCCGACUUCAGCUGCGGUCAUGAUCUCCACACUGUGGGUUCGAGCCCCGCAUUGGGCUCUAUAGCAACAGCUCAGAGCUUGGAGCCUGCUUCAGAUUCUGUGUCUCCUUCUCUCUCUCUCUCUUUCUCUCUGCCCCUCCCUUGCUCAUUCUCUCUCUCUCUCUCUCUGCCUCAAAAAUAAAUAAAUGUUAAACCCUGCCCCACACUUUGGAAUUGAUAUCAAAAUUGUACUACAGUUUUUUAUUGUUAUUUAUUUACCAGCUUAUGCAAUUGAAUUUUUAAUAAGAGCCGUGUUUAGCUGGUUCACAAAAUUCUUGAUAAUUUAAUAUUCGGCUCUCGUGAGCUGAGCUGAGCUGAGCCAGCUCUAGCACACCUCUGGCAGGGGCCUCGAUUCCUUGUCGGCUGUUGGCAAAAGCCUCGGUUCCGGGCCACGUGGACUUCUCCCUGAGGCCGUGUGAGUGUCCUCCCAAGACGGUGGCUGGCUUCUCCCAGCCUGAGCGGUCCAAGACGGAGAGAUAGAGGUACAGUGUCUCGUGAGCUAGCCUCAUUACUCACUCGUCAGUUCCGCAAAACCUUGCUGCCUUUAUGGGUCAGCCCUAUUUACAGCGAUGGCUAGCCCGGCAGGCCCCGCCUGUGCCGAGACCCCGCCUCUGCUCUCAACCAGACCAUUUCCCCUGGACUUUUCUAGGCUUUCUACUUGUCCUUUCGUUAGCUUUCCUACAGAUUGGGGGAUGUUAGUGAGCAUUAUCAGGAUUUGCGUGGCCUCUCUUCAGGGCUUCAGCUGGUACCCGAGGAAGGUGUGUGGGGAAAGACAGGAGCCACACAGCACUUCGCCAUGAUAUUUUCUUUGGCCCCGUGAAACGUUGUGUCAAGGUUGUAUUCUGAAUUUUUCCUCAUUCAGUUUCUGCUGGUCGGAUUUUUUGCUGGAGGGGAUGUUUAAGAAAUAAGACUGUCAUUUAUUGAGACUGAAUUCCAGGAAGGAAGGGAGGGGAGUUUUCUACAGCGGGACGUUGGCGGCCACCACACCACAGUGUCUUCAGACAGAUUAAGUACAGACUAAGAGCUGGUCCGAGAGCUUCCGCACUGUGCUGGGCGGCCUCUGACUGGCCCUCCAAACCCCAAAUGCUCAUGCUCUGUCAUGACCUCCCUCAGUCUCCUCCCGGUUUUAUUGAAAUACAAUUGACAUUUAAGCUUGUGUAAGUUUAAGGUACACAACGUAAUGGCCCAAUAUAUGUAUAUACGUGAAACUGUCACACAAUUAAGCUCAGUUAGUGUCCACCUUACAGACUUAGGGUAUUUUUGCUUGUGGUGAGAACUUUUAAGAUCUACUCUCUUGCUAACUGUCAGAUAUACAAUAAAUACAGUGUUGUUAACCACAGUCACCAUACUCUCCUUACUUCUCUUGUAACUGGAAGUUUGUGCCUUUGCCUCCCCUUGCCCAGUUCCCUCACCCACCCCCACCCGCUGCCCCCGGCCACCACGGAUCUCUUCUGUCUCUGUGAGUUUGGUUUCUUUCAGGAUUCCACACAUGAGUGAGAUCAUGCGGGAUUUGUCUUUCUCUGUCUGGCUUAUUUCACUGUGCAUAAUGCCCUCAAGGCCCAUUUAUGUUGCUGCAGAUAGCAGGAUUUUCCUUUUUUUUUUUUUUUUAAUUUUAACAUUUAUUCAUUUUUGAGACAGAGCAUGAAUGGGGGAAGGUCAGAGAGAGAGAG